GAUGAACGCUGGCGGCGUGCCUAAUACAUGCAAGUCGAGCGAAUGGAUUAAGAGCUCGCUCUUAUGAAGUUAGCGGCGGACGGGUGAGUAACACGUGGGUAACCUGCCCAUAAGACUGGGAUAACUCCGGGAAACCGGGGCUAAUACCGGAUAACAUUUUAAACCGCAUGGUUCGAAAUUGAAAGGCGGCUUCGGCUGUCACUUAUGGAUGGACCCGCGUCGCAUUAGCUAGUUGGUGAGGUAACGGCUCACCAAGGCAACGAUGCGUAGCCGACCUGAGAGGGUGAUCGGCCACACUGGGACUGGGACACGGCCCAGACUCCUACGGGAGGCAGCAGUAGGGAAUCUUCCGCAAUGGACGAAAGUCUGACGGAGCAACGCCGCGUGAGUGAUGAAGGCUUUCGGGUCGUAAAACUCUGUUGUUAGGGAAGAACAAGUGCUAGUUGAAUAAGCUGGCACCUUGACGGUACCUAACCAGAAAGCCACGGCUAACUACGUGCCAGCCGCCGCGGUAA
rnacentral:rRNA from 1 species